UCCCCAUUUCUUCAGUACACCACAAAACUGAUUGAUUAAAACAUGAAAUUAUAUUCUUCUUCUUCUCACGUACAUCAAAUAUGAAAAAACUCACAACAUAAGAAUACCCAAAAAAGGCUUAACAUCAAUUGUACUUCUUCUCGCGUACAAUACUCAGUUUCCAACAAAGAACAUCAACUAUUCUUCUUUGAUUCAACAACAAUCUUUCUUCUGCAAGGGUAGAUUUAAAAUUAGGUUAAAAUGUUGUUGAAUCAGGCAUAAACAAUUAGAUCUGGCACAAAUUUCGUUCCUAGACACAAAGAAAGACAUAAUGGAUCUAGAUGAAAUUUUGGCUAUUUUUCAUGAAGAGCCAGAAACCGAAUUCGCUGGAGGUGAUCUAGAGUUAUGGUGCAGAGGAAGAAAAUACUUCAACCGAUGAAGAUGAAGAGGAAUCCAACAAUGAAGGAUUUUCUUGCAAUUAUGAUGAUGCAACAGCUGUGGAUACUGUGAUCGUGCUUAGUGUGCAGUUUGCUGUCGUGAGUGGCCUUGCCUCACUGAGUCGUCUAGGUCGCUCUGAUACGUAACAGGAUGGGGUGUUAUGAUAUGCAUGCUUCAUUCUCUUACGUGAACAAUUAUGUUAUUUUAUGAUGUUGAAUUAACUCAUUUGAAAUAUUUUGAUGGGGCCUACGUGCCAAAAUGAUUUAUGGUUUUCAAAUUAAUUUCCGCUGCAACGUUUGAAAUAUUUGUUAAAGUUAAAUUGUUAUUUAACUGUUUUGCGAUUAUGUUGAAUGUGAUAUCCCGUUAUUUGAUGUUUACUCUGAUAAAUGUUUAGAAAUUU
rnacentral:lncRNA from 1 species